ACACGUGGUAUCCUGUCUGAAUAUGGGGGGACCAUCCUCCAAGGCUAAAUACUCCUGACUGACCGAUAGUGAACCAGUACCGUGAGGGAAAGGCGAAAAGAACCCCGGCGAGGGGAGUGAAAAAGAACCUGAAACCGUGUACGUACAAGCAGUGGGAGCCCCACCACUAAGCCAGUGGUGAACUCCACAUACGCAUCCUUUGCUGAGGAUACGGUUAACGGAGCGAAAGCGACGUUCAACCGCAAAACAAGCAGAGGGGGCUUAGUGGUGGGGUGACUGCGUACCUUUUGUAUAAUGGGUCAGCGACUUAUAUUCUGUAGCAAGGUUAACCGAAUAGGGGAGCCGGAGGGAAACCGAGUCUUAAUUGGGCGUUAAGUUGCAGGGUAUAGACCCGAAACCCGGUGAUCUAGCCAUGGGCAGGUUGAAGGUUGGGUAACACUAACUGGAGGACCGAACCGACUAAUGUUGAAAAAUUAGCGGAUGACCUGUGGCUGGGGGUGAAAGGCCAAUCAAACCGGGAGAUAGCUGGUUCUCCCCGAAAGCUAUUUAGGUAGCGCCUCGUGAAUUCAUCUCCGGGGGUAGAGCACUGUUUCGGCUAGGGGGCCAUCCCGGCUUACCAACCCGAUGCAAACUGCGAAUACCGGAGAAUGUUAUCACGGGAGACACACGGCGGGUGCUAACGUCCGUCGUGAAGAGGGAAACAACCCAGACCGCCAGCUAAGGUCCCAAAGUCAUGGUUAAGUGGGAAACGAUGUGGGAAGGCCCAGACAGCCAGGAUGUUGGCUUAGAAGCAGCCAUCAUUUAAAGAAAGCGUAAUAGCUCACUGGUCGAGUCGGCCUGCGCGGAAGAUGUAACGGGGCUAAACCAU
rnacentral:rRNA from 1 species